rnacentral:rRNA from 1 species
CGACCGCGCACGGGUGAGUAACGCGUAUCCAACCUGCCCACCACUUGGGGAUAACCUUGCGAAAGUAAGACUAAUACCCAAUGAUAUCUCUAGAAGACAUCUGAAAGAGAUUAAAGAUUUAUCGGUGAUGGAUGGGGAUGCGUCUGAUUAGCUUGUUGGCGGGGUAACGGCCCACCAAGGCAACGAUCAGUAGGGGUUCUGAGAGGAAGGUCCCCCACAUUGGAACUGAGACACGGUCCAA